rnacentral:lncRNA from 1 species
GGACAUUAAGGAGUUGUUUGAUUCUGAGUGGAGUCCUAAAAUAUAGGUUGUUUAAAUAUUUUGCUUCUUAAGUUUUGUAGAUUUCUAUUUUAACAAUUUUAUUUACUAUUUUAAUUAUGGAGUUCAACUCAUUUUAAAGUUGAACAUGAUAAAUAAAUAUGUUGAUAAAUUAACUUAUUCAAAUAUAAACAGGUAUCUGCUAAUGUCUCAUUGGGUAACUUGAAAGAUCCUGAGGAUGAACUAGACAUCACCGAUGGUGGUAGAAGUAGAAAAAAAGACACCUAAUCAUACAUGACGACUAAUUAAGUGUUGAAGAUACAAAUAAAUUUAAGUAGAGAGAUUAUUGUUGCCCCACACCUUCAACUAAUAUUUAAGCUUACACAAAACUAUUUCAAACUGUUAUCAUUUUUAGUUUUUUGUUCGAGUAGACGUGUUGAUGAAUAAAUUUGUUUGUUAAUGUCGUUGAACAUAAUCAAUAUGAUAAUAUUCAUACUUGUAUGAUUAUUUUUCAUCUUACAUAAUAUCCUAAUUAUUGGAUAUAAUCGAUAUGAUGAUAUUCAUACUUGUAUGAAUAUUUUUCGGCUUACAUAAUAU